rnacentral:rRNA from 1 species
UUACCUGUGUGACUGCGUACCUUUUGUAUAAUGGGUCAGCGACUUAUAUUCUGUAGCAAGGUUAACCGUAUAGGGGAGCCGUAGGGAAACCGAGUCUUAACCGGGCGUUAAGUUGCAGGGUAUAGACCCGAAACCCGGUGAUCUAGCCAUGGGCAGGUUGAAGGUUGGGUAACACUAACUGGAGGACCGAACCGACUAAUGUUGAAAAAUUAGCGGAUGACCUGUGGCUGGGGGUGAAAGGCCAAUCAAACCGGGAGAUAGCUGGUUCUCCCCGAAAGCUAUUUAGGUAGCGCCUCGUGAAUUCAUCUCCGGGGGUAGAGCACUGUUUCGGCUAGGGGGCCAUCCCGGCUUACCAACCCGAUGCAAACUGCGAAUACCGGAGAAUGUUAUCACGGGAGACACACGGCGGGUGCUAACGUCCGUCGUGAAGAGGGAAACAACCCAGACCGCCAGCUAAGGUCCCAAAGUCAUGGUUAAGUGGGAAACGAUGUGGGAAGGCCCAGACAGCCAGGAUGUUGGCUUAGAAGCAGCCAUCAUUUAAAGAAAGCGUAAUAGCUCACUGGUCGAGUCGGCCUGCGCGGAAGAUGUAACGGGGCUAAACCAUGCACCGAAGCUGCGGCAGCGAACGUAUCACCCAAGACAACUUUACGGAGUUGACGAUUGACGGAGCGAAGCGACGUCAAAGCGUUCAUUAAAGUCGAGUUGGCUUAGGGAUACGUUCGUUGGGUAGGGGAGCGUUCUGUAAGCCUGUGAAGGUGUGUCGUGAGGCAUGCUGGAGGUAUCAGAAGUGCGAAUGCUGACAUAAGUAACGAUAAAGCGGGUGAAAAGCCCGCUCGCCGGAAGACCAAGGGUUCCUGUCCAACGUUAAUCGGGGCAGGGUGAGUCGACCCCUAAGGCGAGGCCGAAAGGCGUAGUCGAUGGGAAACGGGUUAAUAUUCCCGUACUUGGUGUUACUGCGAAGGGGGGACGGAGAAGGCUAUGUUGGCCGGGCGACGGUUGUCCCGGUUUAAGCGUGUAGGUGUGUGUUCCAGGUAAAUCCGGUUCACUUUAACACUGAGGCGUGACGACGAGGCACUACGGUGCUGAAGCAACAAAUGCCCUGCU